AACGAACGCUGGCGGCAUGCCUAACACAUGCAAGUCGAACGAGACCUUCGGGUCUAGUGGCGCACGGGUGCGUAACGCGUGGGAACCUGCCCUUAGGUUCGGAAUAACUCCCCGAAAGGGGUGCUAAUACCGGAUAAUGUCUUCGGACCAAAGAUUUAUCGCCUUUGGAUGGGCCCGCGUUGGAUUAGCUAGUUGGUAGGGUAAAAGCCUACCAAGGCGACGAUCCAUAGCUGGUCUGAGAGGAUGAUCAGCCACACUGGGACUGAGACACGGCCCAGACUCCGACGGGAGGCAGCAGUGGGGAAUAUUGGACAAUGGGCGAAAGCCUGAUCCAGCAAUGCCGCGUGAGUGAUGAAGGCCUUAGGGUUGUAAAGCUCUUUUACCCGGGAUGAUAAUGACAGUACCGGGAGAAUAAGCUCCGGCUAACUCCGUG
rnacentral:rRNA from 1 species